rnacentral:rRNA from 1 species
UGGGGAAUAUUGCACAAUGGGCGCAAGCCUGAUGCAGCCAUGCCGCGUGUGUGAAGAAGGCCUUCGGGUUGUAAAGCACUUUCAGCGAGGAGGAAGGUGGUGAACUUAAUACGUUCAUCAAUUGACGUUACUCGCAGAAGAAGCACCGGCUAACUCCGUGCCAGCAGCCGCGGUAAUACGGAGGGUGCAAGCGUUAAUCGGAAUUACUGGGCGUAAAGCGCACGCAGGCGGUUUGUUAAGUCAGAUGUGAAAUCCCCGGGCUCAACCUGGGAACUGCAUUUGAAACUGGCAAGCUAGAGUCUCGUAGAGGGGGGUAGAAUUCCAGGUGUAGCGGUGAAAUGCGUAGAGAUCUGGAGGAAUACCGGUGGCGAAGGCGGCCCCCUGGACGAAGACUGACGCUCAGGUGCGAAAGCGUGGGGAGCAAACAGGAUUAGAUACCCCUGGUAGUCCACGCUGUAAAACGAUGUCGAUUUUGGAGGUUGUGCCCUUGAGGCGUGG